rnacentral:rRNA from 1 species
UUCGCGGAGGGCGGUAUUUAUUAGAUAACAAGCCAAUAUUCCUUGUGUCUAUUGUGGUGACUCAUAGUAACUUAAUCGGAUCGCAUGGGCUCGUCCCGCGACAAACCAUUCAAGUUUCUGCCCCAUCAGCUUUCGAUGGUAGUGUAUUGGACUACCAUGGCUUUUACGGGUAACGGAGGAUUAGGGUUCGAUUCCGGAGAGGGAGCCUGAGAAACGGCUACCACAUCUAAGGAAGGCAGCAGGCGCGUAAAUUACCCAAUCCUGAUUCAGGGAGGUAGUG